rnacentral:pre_miRNA from 1 species
GUGUGCAUGGGGUCUUUGACCCCCGUGCGCACGGGGUAGUCAGAAUAUUUCGGGACACCCCGUGCGCACGGGGGUCAGAGACCCCGUGCGCAC